AUCCUACCUUCCAUUCCAACUGUCACUCUGUGAGCUGAGAGAUUCAAAUUUGGUGACAGAUGAGAAGCUGUCACCCUCACACCUCGAGUGUUUGAGAAUGGGAAAUCUGAAUUGUUAUUUUGGAGCUCCCACUGAGUCCCUGUUGGAAGACCUGGACCUGCCCAGUGACAGGGCAGACGAGAAGGCCCCGCCUACCCCCAAGGUUAAUGGGACAAAUGAUGAAAAUGCUACAUGUGUUGGAACCACUCCUCUGCUAACGGGAAAUCUAGCUGAUGCUGACGAAGAAGCUCCCCCUGUGGACCUGUUGGAGGACCUGACUGACGACAGGACAGAGGAAGAGAUCCCACUUACUGCCAAGGAGGAUGCAAGAGCUGGUGAAAACCGUACGUAUUCUGAAACCACUCCUCUUCAGAGGAGAAAGCUAAGUGAUGAAGAGUGUGGGGCUGUCUUGCCCGCUUUGCUUGGAGAAACACCCUGAUUCUGGGUUCCCACUAGGAAAGAGAGUGAAGGAUUUAGUGAAAUAAAUGAAUUUCCCUCAAAAAAGCGUUGAACUUGUGUAGUCCCCGGAAGCUGUGAGGUCACUUAGAUGAUGUUUGCUUGCGUGUAUGAGGACUAACAGGCUUUCCACGUGUGAGGUUAUGGGUAUGAUUGUCAAUCUGUGUGUAUAAAUGUGUUGAUUCCCCAAGAGCUAUUUCCCACUUGCACAGAACACUCCUGUCAACUUUCUGUUUAAAAAAAAAAGCAACACCUCAUUCUUCCUUCACCGCAGCUGUUCCCAGAGGUUUGGAUAAUAUUCUCUCUCCUCAGAGAGAGAUGGGACAGAGAUAAACGGCCCAAACUCAUGACUUCCUAAAGCAAAAAGUCAAAAUGGGAACCCAGACAAGGGUCCCAGUGUGAUGCUCUGGACCACUGACCUGUCCUUAUCACACAGCCACAGGAUCAUCAGUCCUGAGGCAAGGGGGUCUCUGCUCUGUGUACAUGCCUGGCAGCACUAGACUCUCCAGAGGUCCCAGACACUGCCCAUCACUCUAAGGUGGCUCACAGAACCCAGGGCAGCUGUCAGUACACUCAACAGCCAACUUGGGCAGAGUCAAGCGUGUGAAACAUACCCAGAAAGCCAGCACACUGUACUCAGCUCACAGUUUCUGAGAGAUGUGAGGUUCCACAUAGGACAAUGCAGGUCAACAUCUUUCAGUGUUGGGGUCAUUGUUUAGCAUUUGACCAAACACAGCAAGAAUGAGGGAGGUAUUUAUUGUAUUGGAUAAUACUGCCACAAGCCCUAGAAAUGCUAGAAUCCUGUAAACACUCACCGAUGGCUCAGUGGCAAGGAGUCUAAAUGAAUUUGUUAGUCCUGGUGCCCAUCAGCCGUUUUACAAACCUCCUGCACAGCUGGGUUAGAGACAUCAGCACUCACUCCAGCCUUCCUCUCUGUAAUGAACUGUUCCUCUGGUUGGAUGGCACAUGGGAGUGUGAACUGCCACCAACUCAGUGGACAUGCACACAUUGUUUACAAAAAGAAGACGGGGAAGAAAAUGGCACAUGGUUGAUAGUGUCAAUUUUUAAGCAGUAGGAUCUUAGUAUUUUUGAACAUUUAUAUUUGAUUUUCCUUCACUUCAGUUCAGUCGCUCAAGUUGUGUCCGACUCUUUGCGACCCCAUGAACUACAGCAUGCCAGGCCUUCCUGUCCAACACAAACUCCUGGAGUUUACUCAAACUGAUGUCCAUUGAGUCGAUGAAUCCAUCCAACCAUCUCAUCCUCUGUCGUCCCCUUCUCCUCCUGCCCCAAGUCCCUCCCAAAAUCAGGGUCUUUUCCAAUGAGUCAGCUCUUCACAUCAGGUGGCCAAAGUAUUGGAGUUCCAGCUUCAACAUCAGUCCUUCCAAAUGACUGAUCUCCUUUAGGAUGGACUGGUUGGAUCUCCUUGCAGUCCAAGGGACUCUCAAGAGUCUUCUCCAACACCACAGUUCAAAAGCAUCAAUUCUUUGGUGCUCAGCUUUCUUUAUAGUCCAACUCUCACAUCCAUACAUAACUACUGGAAAAACCAUAGCCUUGACUAGAUGGAGCUGUGUUGGCAAAGUAAUGUCUCUGCUUUUUAAUAUGCUGUCUAACUUUCCUUCCAAAGAGCAAGCAUCUUAAUUUCAUGGCUGCAAUUACCAUCUGCAGUGAUUUUGGUGCCCCCCAAAAUAAAGUCAGCCACUGUUUCCACUGUUUCCCUAUCUAUUUGCCAUGAAGUGAUGGGACCAGAUGCCAUGAUCUUCGUUUUCUGAAUGUUGAGCUUUAAGCCAACUUUCUUGCUCUCCUAUUUCACCUUCAUCAGGAGGCUCUUUAGUUCUUUGCUUUCUGCCAUAAGGGUGGUGUCAUCUGCAUAUCUGAGGUUAUUGAUAUUUCUCCCAGCAAUCUUGAUUCCAGCUUGUGCUUCUUCCAGUCCAGCGUUUCUCAUGAUGUACUCUGCAUAUAAGUUAAAUAAGCAGGGUGACAAUAUACAGCCUUGAUGUCCUCCUUUUCCUAUUUGGAACCAGUCUGUUGUUCCAUGUCCAGUUCUAACUGUUGCUUCCUGACCUGCAUACAGAUUUCUCAAGAGGCAGGUCAGGUAGUCUGCUAUUCCCAUCUCUUUCAGAAUUUUCCACAGUUUAUUGUGAUCCACACAGUCAAAGACUUUGGCAUAGUCACUAAAGCAGAAAUAGAUGUUUUUCUGGAACUCUCUUGCUUUUUCCAUGAUCCAGCAGAUGUUGGCAAUUUGAUCUCUGGUUCCUCUGCCUUUUCUAAAACCAGCUUGAACAUCUAGAAGUUCCCGGUUCACGUAUUGCUGAAGCCUGGCUUGGAGAAUUUUGAGCAUUACUUUGCUAGCGUGUGAGAUGCAUGCAACUGUGCGGUAGUUUGAGCAUUCUUUGGCAUUGCCUUUCUUUGGGAGUGGAAUGAAAACUGACCUUUUCCAGUCCUGUGGCCACUGCUGAGUUUUCCAAAUGUGCUGGCAUAUUGAGUGAAGCACUUUCACAGCACCAUCUUUCAAGAUUUGAAAUAGCUCCGCUGGAAUUCCAUCACCUCCACUAGCUUUGUUUGUAGUGAUGGUUCCUAAGGCCCACUUGACUUCGCAUUCCAGUAUGUCGAGCUCUAGGUGAGUGAUCACACCAUCGGGAUUAUCUGGGUCGUGAAGAUCUUGUUUGUACAGUUUUAUGUAUUCUUGCCACCUCUUCUUAAUAUCUUCUGCUUCUGUUAGGUCCAUACCAUUUCUGUCCUUUAUGGAGCCCAUCUUUGCAUGAAAUGUUCCCUUGGUAUCUCUAAUUUCCUUGAAGAGAUCUCUAGUCUUUCCCAUUCUAUUGUUUUCCUCUAUUUCUUUGCAUUGAUUGCGGAGGAAGUCUUUCUUAUCUCUCCUUGCUAUUCUUUGGAACUCAAAUGGGUAUAUCUUACCCAUUCAAAUGGGUAUAUCUUUCCUUUUCUCCUUUGCUCUUCACUUCUCUUCUUUUCACAGCUAUUUGUAAGAAAUUUCUCAGACAGCCACUUUGCUUUUUUGCAUUUCUUUUUCUUGAGGAUGGUCUUGAUCCCUGUUUCCUGUACAAUGUCACGAUCCUCCAUCCAUAGUUCAUCAGGCACUCUAUCUAUCAGAUCUAGGCCCUUAAAUCUAUUUCUCACUUCCACUGUAUAAUCAUAAGGGAUUUGAUUUAGGUCAUACUUGAAUGGUCUAGUGGUUUUCCCCACUUUCUUCAAUUUAAGUCUGAAUUUAGCAAUAAGGAGCUCAUGAUCUGAGCCACAGUCAGCUCCCAGUCUUGUUUUUGCUGACUGUAUAGAGCUUCUCCAUCUUUGGCUGCAAAGAAUAUAAUCAAUCUGAUUUCGGUAUUGACCAUCUGGUGACGUCCACGUGUAGAGUCUUCUCUUGUGUUGUUGGAAGAGGGUGUUUACCAUGACCAGUGUGUUUUCUCGGCAAAACUCUAUUAGCCUUUGCUCUGCUUCAUUCUGUACUCCAAGGCCAAAUUUGCCUGUUACUCCUGACUUCUGACUUUUGCAUUCCAGUCCCCUAUAAUGAAAAGGACAUCUUUUGGGGGUGUUAGUUCUAAAAGGUCUUGUAGGUCUUCAUAGAACCGUUCAGAUUCAGCUUCUUCAGCAUUACUGGUCAGGGCAUAGACUUGGAUUACCAUGAUAUUGAAUGGUUUGCCUUGGAAACAAACAGAGAUGAUUCUGUCGUUUUUUGAGAUUGCAUCCAAGUACUGCAUUUCGGACUCUUUUGUUGACUAUGAUGGCUACUCCAUUUCUUCUAAGGGAUUCCUGCCCACAGUAGUAGAUAUAAUGGUCAUCUGAGUUAAAUUCACCCAUUCCAGUCCAUUUUGGUUUGCUGAUUCCUAGAAGGUCGACGUUCACUCUUGCCAUCUUCUAUUUGACCACUUCCAAUUUGCCUUGAUUCAUGGACCUAACAUUCCAGGUUCCUAUGCAAUAUUGCUCUUUACAGCAUUGGACCUUGCUUCUAUCACCAGUCAUAUCCACAACUGGGUGUCGUUUUUUAUUUUCCUUAUGACAAGCUAAAAGUGAAUAAAUAUAAUAGCGUGAUUUGCCUCACAUGGAAUUCGGCUCCCCAGUGACGUUUGCUUUUAAUCAAGUACAAAAUCUUCUAGAUGUGGUUAUAAAUACAGUAGCAGCAACUGUGAAUCCAGGAGGAAAAAGUGAUCUUGGAAGAAGAUAAGGAGACAGUGGCAUUUAGUUCAGCUGUGAAGCAGACAGCAGGAGUCACGGGAUUCUGUCAGGGAAACAGAGCAUGCGUUUUAGUGCUUACUCUUUUACAGACUAUUUCACGUGAUUAGGUUCUCCAGACAUGGAAAGUCAGUGGCUCUGUUUUCAUUUUUUCACUCUUUUGUCUUCAUCAUCCAAAUUCCCCAAAGGCAGCUUAAUCUAAACAUAUUAACCACCUGCACGCGCACAAUCAGGGCUUCCCUGGUAGCUCAAAGGAAAAAAUCCCCCUGCAAUGCAGGAGCCACAGAAGACGCAGGUUCGAUCCCUGGGUUGGAAAGAUCCUCUGGAGGAGGACGUGGUAACCCACUCCAGUUUUCUUGCCUGGAGAAUCCCAUGUACAGAGGAGCCUGGCAGGCUACAGUUCAUAGGGUCACAAAGAGUUGGAUGUGACUGAAGUGACUGAGCAUGCACGCACGCACGCAUGUCCAGCCCUUGUCCACAUCAAGCCAAACUACUUGAGUAGCUUCUGAUGAACACAACUAAGGUGCUGACAGUUACUCUGUGUCCUCGUAGCUCCCCCGGAGGAUUUGUUGAAGGACAGAGCAGAGGAGGAAGCUUCACCCAUCUCUAAGCUGGUCUCAGUAGAAAGUGAAAACGAAUGCAUUUUGGAAAGCAUAUAUGACAGUGGAAAUGAAUGCAACACAGACAAGAUGCUGGACAGCUCAUGGAGCAACCAGGAUGAAGAUGCUACAGAAUACUACUUCGAGUCUAAUGAAGAAUCGGAUCAGGAGAGCAACAGUCUGCAUAUGUCAAGAUAUCCUCUGCUUCUCCUCUUAAGAGAAGCUGUUGGGUCUGCAGUCAGUGAAGAAGAGGACAGGGAGGAGGAGACAUAAAUAUGGAGGGUGGGGAUGAAAGGUUCUGCUCUGACACCUGUGAAGGCCUUGACCUUGGGGCCUCAUCCUGGGCCUCAGAGGGGAACGAAGCAGUACAGAGUCAGGAGGUUUCCAACUGGACAAGGAACAGGGUUGGCCUCACUGCUCAUCUCCUAAGGAACCUAAUUUAGUACAGCUUAGUGGUUUUUUUUUUUGUAUAGCUUUAGUAUUAUGUUCAGACAUAUGUUUUAUAUAUGCUGUGGAAGCUUUCUCUAUUAAAUGACAUUCAUCUAUCUAGUUGCUUUUCACAUAUUUUCCUAUAAAAAUCACCCUAAUCCGAGGUAGGACUAAAUGAAUUGCUGUCUUGCAUUCACCCUCGUGUCCACCACCAAGGUCACCCCCUCUCUUAUGUCACCGUCAUUCAGUCUUCAUUAUAUCAGGUGACUAUGAAUUUAG
ensembl:lncRNA